rnacentral:tRNA from 1 species
UUUGCAGUAGUUUAACUAAAACAAAGAAUUUUUAAUUCUUAACUGGCUGCUUCAGCCCUGCGGUA